CAUGCAGUCGCACGAGAACGGUUCAGCUUGCUGGACUCAUUAAAGUGGCGAACGGGUGAGUAAUGUAUGGACAAUCUAUCCCUGACUCGGGACAACGGUUGGAAACGACUGCUAAUACCCGAUAGCCCCGGUAGGAGGUACUCCGGCCGGGUAAAGGUGGCAACACUGAUCGGGGAGGGGUCCAUAUCCCAUCAGCUUGUUGGUGAGGUAACGGCUCACCAAGGCGACGACGGGUAGCCGAACUGAGAGGUUGAUCGGCCACAUCGGGACUGAGACACUGCCCGGACUCCUACGGGAGGCUGCAGUCGAGAAUCUUCCGCAAUGGACGCAAGUCUGACGGAGCGACGCCGCGUGAAGGAUGAAGGCCCUCGGGUUGUAAACUUCUGUCACUCGUGAAGAAUGUCUGUGGUUAGCCCACCGACUGACGUUAGCGAGAGAGGAAGCCACGGCUAACUUCGUGCCAGCAGCCGCGGUAAGACGAAGGUGGCAACCGUUACUCGGAUUCACUGGGCAUAAAGCGCGCGUAGGUGGCUCGGAAGGUCAUCGGUGAAAUCCCACGGCUUAACCGUGGAACUGCCGAUGAAACCGCCUUGCUUGAGGACGGGAGGGGAGAGUGGAACUCUUGGUGUAGCGGUGAAAUGCGUAGAUAUCAAGAGGAACGCCGGUGGCGAAAGCGACUCUCUGGACCGUUCCUGACACUGAGGUGCGAAAGCUAGGGGAGCAAACAGGAUUAGAUACCCUGGUAGUCCUAGCUGUAAACGAUGGGCACUGGGUAGGGGGCGUCUGAUGCGUUCCCUGCCGGAGCUAAUGUAUUAAGUGCCCCGCCUGGGGAGUAUGGUCGCAAGGCUAAAACUCAAAGGAAUUGACGGGGGCUCACACAAGCGGUGGAGGAUGUGGUUUAUUCGAAGCACGCGCAGAACCUUACCG
rnacentral:rRNA from 1 species